rnacentral:rRNA from 1 species
UUAUGGCUCAGGAUGAACGCUGGCGGCGUGCUUAACACAUGCAAGUCGAACGGAGUUUAGAUGAAACCUAGUGAUUCUAAACUUAGUGGCGGACGGGUGAGUAACGCGUGGGUAACCUGCCAUAUACAGGGGGAUAACACUUAGAAAUAGGUGCUAAUACCGCAUAAGCGCACAGGACCGCAUGGUCUGGUGUGAAAAAACUCCGGUGGUAUAUGAUGGACCCGCGUCUGAUUAGCUAGUUGGUGAGGUAACGGCCCACCAAGGCGACGAUCAGUAGCCGGCCUGAGAGGGUGAACGGCCACAUUGGGACUGAGACACGGCCCAAACUCCUACGGGAGGCAGCAGUGGGGAAUAUUGCACAAUGGGGGAAACCCUGAUGCCAGCGACGCCGCGUGAGUGAAGAAGUAUUUCGGUAUGUAAAGCUCUAUCAGCAGGAAAGAAAAUGACGGUACCUGACUAAGAAGCCCCGGCUAACUACGUGCCAGCCGCCGC